GAUGAACGCUGGCGGCGUGCCUAAUACAUGCAAGUCGAGCGAACAGAUGAGGAGCUUGCUCCUCUGACGUUAGCGGCGGACGGGUGAGUAACACGUGGAUAACCUACCUAUAAGACUGGGAUAACUUCGGGAAACCGGAGCUAAUACCGGAUAAUAUAUUGAACCGCAUGGUUCAAUAGUGAAAGACGGUUUUGCUGUCACUUAUAGAUGGAUCCGCGCCGCAUUAGCUAGUUGGUAAGGUAACGGCUUACCAAGGCAACGAUGCGUAGCCGACCUGAGAGGGUGAUCGGCCACACUGGAACUGAGACACGGUCCAGACUCCUACGGGAGGCAGCAGUAGGGAAUCCUCCGCAAAGGGCGAAAGCCUGACGGAGCAACGCCGCGUGAGUGAUGAAGGUCUUCGGAUCGUAAAACUCUGUUAUUAGGGAAGAACAAAUGUGUAAGUAACUAUGCACGUCUUGACGGUACCUAAUCAGAAAGCCACGGCUAACUACGUG
rnacentral:rRNA from 1 species